GCUGCUGCGUGGCCGCCUCCACUCCCCCGGGCCCCUGGCGUCCUCCCUUCUCCAGGCCGGAGCGCAGGGCCGAAGGCCACCGCCCGGGGACCGGCCCCAGGCACAUGGGACCGCGGCGGGCGCCCUGCCAAUCCCCAGGAGGCCCGGCCCCUGGCCCUGAACCUGCACCCGGUGGCCACCCCGCCGCGCAGGCGCUGGCUCGUGAGUCACCUGGCGGGGGCCACGUGUGUGCGGCGUGGGCCCUGCGUCCACAGGUCUGCAACCCCUGCCCCCACCGAGGGCUCAGCCCCGGCCCAGCUGCAAGAGAACAGAAAACCGGCUUCGGGAGCCGGGCGCGGUGGCUCACGCCUGUAAUCCCAGUUACUCAGGAAGCUGAGGCAGUAGAAUCGCUUGAAUCCGGGAGGCAGAGGUUGCAGUGAGCUGAGAUCGCGCCACUGCACUCCAGCCUGGGCGACAGAGCGAGACUCCAUCUCAAAAAAAAAAAAAAAAAAAAGAAAAAGAAAAGAAAAAAAGAACCUGCUUGGGGCCAGACUGAAUGAAAACUGGGAAAAAAGGCGGUUAGGAAGGACUUGCCUCUCCCUUCCCACACACAGAUGCCCGGAAGCUCCUGCUCAGUUCUGGUCUGGCUCUGACCAGACGCCCCAGGCAACCACCCUGGAAGUGGGGCCCCGGGGUGGAUUCUGGGGCUCUUGUUCCCAGGAGAUGCCUGCCUGCAUCUGGGCCCCUGCUUGGAUUCCACUUCCCUGCGAAGAACAAGGAGGCGCUGGUGUGUUCCUGGCCCAGGUGCACCUGCUGGGCAAAAUGAAAUUUAAGUCCCCAAGGCUGCUUUAGGGCUGGGCCACAGGGAUGAAGACCUGCAGCUCCAGCUUGGUCACUGCUGUCCGGCCUCCCCCACCCUCCAGGGCGAAGGGUGAGGAGCACCGGAAAAACAACUCGUGGUCCCUGGAACCCCUCAAGCACCAGAAUGUGUCCAGCCCUGCCUCUGCGCAUCCAGCGAUGCCCUGGCUGUGUCGGAAGCGCAAGACGCACACUUAGGAUUUUCAGCUUGGCUGUGGGUUUAUUGGGCCGUAACCCCAACGUAGGCAGGUAGCCAACUGGAGGAGACUGUUUUCUAGACCCUUAGGUGGCCUCUGACCCCAGAAGUCAUCAGCGGAAGAUUUGGGCUGGGGAGUGAGCAGCUAACCAGAGGCGGUACCCCUGCCCGGAAGUGUGUCCUGGACCUUGGUUUGGUUGGGUCCCUCAGGUGUUGCCCACACAGACCGUAACUACCUGGCAAUCGAGAAGGGUGCCAGAUGGACACUGGGGGUGAAAACACAGCCACGCCUGGUGGGGAAGCGGGUGGAGGUGCUCAGGAGGCAACCAGGAGAGUGCAGUGCAGCACUGCCCGCACCAAGCCUGGGCUGGGGCUCAACAGGAAGCGUGGAGAUGGCGCAAAUGCACCGCAGGGACUCAGAGGGAUCACGCUGGGCUUAAAAGGCCCAGAGCAAACAGACUCAACCGUUAGGAAGCAGGGGAAGUGGCCCGAUCUUAACGGAAAUUUCCCAGCAAGAGGACAGGCUUCCUUGUCCGGGGCCAUCCAGGCUCACACCUGACUGAGUCCCGCAGACUUGGCUGUGCCCACAGCGCCUGUCUCACUCAGUGUAAACCGAGAUGAGUUGCAUCCAUCGGCUCCCGAUUACCAAGAAUCAAGAGGCGAUGGAUGGAAACCUUGGGGGAAGCAGGGCCUGGAGGGCCAGUGUCCCCUGAGUCUGUGAGACACUCCAGGAAGGAGGGGGGCGGGCCUGGGCUGCAACCUGUCCCUCCGAAGGCCACCUGCAAGACAGGGCUGAAACUGGCUGCUGGCAGAGACCCCCCAACCCACAGAACACUGGCUCCCUGCUGAAGGAAGAACUGCUCCAAAGCAGAAAGAGCAGGGCCCAGCGGGUAAGGAGCAGGAACUGAAGAGCUUUACAAAGAACAAAAAAGGCUGGGCAGGGCAGCUCUCACCUGUAAUCCCAGCACUUUGGGAGGCCAAGGUAGGAGGAUCUCUUGAGGCCAGGCGUUUCAGACCAGCCUGCGCAACACAGUGAGACCACAUCUCUAAAAAAAAUCAAAAGAUUAGCCAGGCAUGAUGGCACGUGCCUAUAGUCCCAGCUACCUGGGAGGAUGAGGUAGGACGAUUGCUUGUGCACAGGAGGCUGAGGCUGCAGUGAGCCUUGAUCAGGCCACUGCACUCCAGCUCGGGUGACAGAGUGAGAUCGUGUCUAUAUUAAAAAAUAAAAAUAGGCCAGGUGUGGUGGCUCACACCUGUAAUCCCAGCACUUUGGGAGGCCGAGGUGGGUGAUCACCUGGGGUUAGGAAUUCGAGACCAUCCUGGCCAACGUGGUGAAACGCUGCCUCUACUAAAAAUACAAAAAUUAGCUGGGUGUUGUGGCGGGCGCCUGUAAUCCCAGCUACUAGGGAGGCUAAGGCAGGAGAAUCGCUUGAACCUGGGAGGUGGAGGUUGCAGUGAGCCAAGAUCGUGCCAUUGCACUCCAGCCUGGGUGACAAGAGCAAAACUCACUCAAAAAAAAUUAAAAUUAAAAAAGAUAAAAAUAAGGUUCAAGACCAGCCUGGCCAACAGGGUGAAACCCUAUCUCUACUAAUAAAAAUACAAAAUUAGCUGGGCGUGGUGGUGCAUGCCUGUAAUUCCAGCUUCUUGGGAAGGUGAGGCAGGACAAUUGCUUGAACCCGGCAGGUGGAGGCUGCAGUGAGCCAAGACUGCACCACCAGCCCAGGUGACAAACUGACACCGUUUCAUAAAAAUAAAUACAUAAAUAAGUAAAUAAAACAUUAAAAAAAA
rnacentral:lncRNA from 1 species